rnacentral:rRNA from 1 species
GGGUUGUGAGGUUAAGCGACUAAGCGUACACGGUGGAUGCCCUGGCAGUCAGAGGCGAUGAAGGACGUGCUAAUCUGCGAUAAGCGUCGGUAAGGUGAUAUGAACCGUUAUAACCGGCGAUUUCCGAAUGGGGAAACCCAGUGUGAUUCGUCACACUAUCGUUAACUGAAUACAUAGGUUAACGAAGCGAACCGGGGGAACUGAAACAUCUAAGUACCCCGAGGAAAAGAAAUCAACCGAGAUUCCCCCAGUAGCGGCGAGCGAACGGGGAGGAGCCCAGAGCCUGAAUCAGCAUGUGUGUUAGUGGAAGCGUCUGGAAAGGCGCGCGAUACAGGGUGACAGCCCCGUACACAAAAGCGCAUGUGCUGUGAGCUCGAUGAGUAGGGCGGGAGACGUGGUAUCCUGUCUGAAUAUGGGGGGACCAUCCUCCAAGGCUAAAUACUCCUGACUGACCGAUAGUGAACCAGUACCGUGAGGGAAAGGCGAAAAGAACCCCGGCGAGGGGAGUGAAAAAGAACCUGAAACCGUGUACGUACAAGCAGUGGGAGCCCCACCACCAAAGCAUUCUCUGGUGUUGAAGGCCCUGCAAAGCAGCAUCGCGGUGGCGGAGCGUCGUUUGCGACGCCCAACACACAAAACAAGCGGUGAGUGCUUUGGGGUGGGGUGACUGCGUACCUUUUGUAUAAUGGGUCAGCGACUUAUAUUCUGUAGCAAGGUUAACCGUAUAGGGGAGCCGAAGGGAAACCGAGUCUUAACUGGGCGUUAAGUUGCAGGGUAUAGACCCGAAACCCGGUGAUCUAGCCAUGGGCAGGUUGAAGGUUGGGUAACACUAACUGGAGGACCGAACCGACUAAUGUUGAAAAAUUAGCGGAUGACUUGUGGCUGGGGGUGAAAGGCCAAUCAAACCGGGAGAUAGCUGGUUCUCCCCGAAAGCUAUUUAGGUAGCGCCUCGUGAACUCAUCUUCGGGGGUAGAGCACUGUUUCGGCUAGGGGGUCAUCCCGACUUACCAACCCGAUGCAAACUGCGAAUACCGAAGAAUGUUAUCACGGGAGACACACGGCGGGUGCUAACGUCCGUCGUGAAGAGGGAAACAACCCAGACCGCCAGCUAAGGUCCCAAAGUCACAGUUAAGUGGGAAACGAUGUGGGAAGGCUCAGACAGCCAGGAUGUUGGCUUAGAAGCAGCCAUCAUUUAAAGAAAGCGUAAUAGCUCACUGGUCGAGUCGGCCUGCGCGGAAGAUGUAACGGGGCUAAACUGUGCACCGAAGCUGCGGCAGCGACGCUUAUGCGUUGUUGGGUAGGGGAGCGUUCUGUAAGCCUGCGAAGGUGUCCUGUGAGGGAUGCUGGAGGUAUCAGAAGUGCGAAUGCUGACAUAAGUAACGAUAAUGCGGGUGAAAAGCCCGCUCGCCGGAAGACCAAGGGUUCCUGUCCAACGUUAAUCGGGGCAGGGUGAGUCGACCCCUAAGGCGAGGCCGAAAGGCGUAGUCGAUGGGAAACGGGUUAAUAUUCCCGUACUUGGUGUUACUGCGAAGGGGGGACGGAGAAGGCUAUGUUGGCCGGGCGACGGUUGUCCCGGUUUAAGCGUGUAGGCUGGUUUUCCAGGCAAAUCCGGAAAAUCAAG